GCGUGGCGCUACCAUUAAAUUCCAUCAACAAUACAAUAAUAAUGAAAAUAAUAUUGAAAACAACAAUGACUGGAAAAUGACGUCAACGAGUACUACAGUGGUUGUAUUUAGUUUCAGUAUCAUGUAUGAGUAGAGAAAUUUGACUGCUUAAGGGAUAGUUCGGAGCGGCACACAGUAAAGCACUUGGUGCACAUUUACAUAAUUCCAGUACAAAUUCAACAAAUAAUUCAAAACAGUAUAAAUUGUUCAGUAUGCUAUUUAAUCCUAAUGUUUUUUUAAAACUUGUAAAUAUUUAAUUAAACUUAAUUUUAAGUUAUUAAUUACAUUUUUGGGGAUUGAUAUGAUGUAAAAAAAUUUUUUUUUUUUUAAUAAUGAAUUACGAAAGCAAAUAAUAGCAAUAGAAAAGGUUCAACAUUAACAAAAUCUGAAAAAUUAUAACAUAAACAAAGUCUUGUGUUUGAUUAUAAUUUAAACGGUUCAUUGGGACACUCGUUAGCGUCAACGGUAUCAUCAAUUCCAAGUAGUUCAUUUAACCCAAAUGAUACUGUUGAAUCAGUAGUAGGUAACGCAUUAGACCAAUUGCAUUUAGACAACCAAUUAUGUCUAGUAGACUCAAUACACCGAGACUCCAGCUCUCCAAAAUGCAAUUCAAUAUCUUCAGGUCUCGCGAGCUCUGGAUUACUCGGUAGUUCUGCGCCAGUUAAUAUUCCCGGUAUGGGUGAGCACUCGGUUUUAUCUAAUUUUUUAUCUUCUACGUCCAGUCCACUGUAGCAUUUACAAUCCACUAGAUUUUUAACUGGAUCAAGAUUUUCCCAUCAAGAUCCAAUUGAAUCUCCGAUACCAUUUUUAAGUCAUUCAGUAUCAGAUCCAUUUUUUAAUCAUAUAUCUCAAUUAAGUAGCCUGACAUCAAAAGUCAUCGGUUUCAAUAGUAGUCUAUUUAAUUUUGCAAAUCAAUUAUCGCCAUCGCGCACACAACCAUUAGGAGCAUCUCCACUUGAUAAUGCAUUUUCAAUAAGCCCUAGCAAUUCUGGAUCACUGUCAGAGGUAAAUCUAUACUUACAUUGUCAUUAAUAAAUACAUACAUUCAUUUUAUACAGAAAAAUGCUCGGAAUGAGCCUCAUGAAUUGUUUUUACUUUUUUUUUUUAACUUCAUAAAAAAUUAUCUGGACAUGAUGGGACAUUACAGGCUACUCAAACAUUAUUAAUCCAAUAAAUUAAUUAAAACUUAUCUCGAAUUAUUCAAAGUUUUCAUUUUUUUAGGGAAACCCAUUUUGCCCUACAUUAAAAAAAAAGUUUCCAUGUUUGAUAACGAUCUGUAUUUGCUCGCGCUCUCUUUUUCUUCAGAAUCUAUUUUGUAUUACUAUUAUAUCUGCCUACAUCUAAAUGUACUACUGUAAUUUAUAAAUGAUUUACGAACUACAAUCGCCGAUAAUAAUUCGCCCCGGGUUGUGUUGCCCCCGGCUUGAUGAACUUUUCUAUUUCAGUACAUCUCUUUCAAAACAACAGUAAUAAAAAUAUUUGUAUAAAAGAUACUUCUAGUAUAAAAUUAGUUUUUUAUUUGAUAAAUUCAUUCUAAAUUUAAUAUCUCUAGGAUAAUCUAUUUAUUAAAACAAGACACAAUUUAAAUUUCUGUUAAAUAAAUUAUCUGUAAAAUUAAACAAAUGUAUGAAAAUAAUGUGGAAAAAAUAAAUUUCAAUUUUUUUAUAUUUCGAUUUUAUUCAUUAAUGAAAAAGAGAAAAUCUCUAUUGAUUAACUAAUGAAUAAAAUGUUUGCUGUCAUGAA